GGGAACAUACCCUUUUCUACGGAAUAGCUCUGGGAAACUGGAAUUAAUACCGUAUACGCCCUACGGGGGAAAGAUUUAUCGGGGAAGGAUUGGCCCGCGUUGGAUUAGCUAGUUGGUGGGGUAAAGGCCUACCAAGGCGACGAUCCAUAGCUGGUCUGAGAGGAUGAUCAGCCACAUUGGGACUGAGACACGGCCCAAACUCCUACGGGAGGCAGCAGUGGGGAAUAUUGGACAAUGGGCGCAAGCCUGAUCCAGCCAUGCCGCGUGAGUGAUGAAGGCCUUAGGGUUGUAAAGCUCUUUCACCGAUGAAGAUAAUGACGGUAGUCGGAGAAGAAGCCCCGGCUAACUUCGUGCCAGCAGCCGCGGUAAUACGAAGGGGGCUAGCGUUGUUCGGAAUUACUGGGCGUAAAGCGCACGUAGGCGGAUAUUUAAGUCAGGGGUGAAAUCCCAGAGCUCAACUCUGGAACUGCCUUUGAUACUGGGUAUCUUGAGUAUGGAAGAGGUAAGUGGGAUUGCGAGU
rnacentral:rRNA from 1 species